GUCCACGCCGUAAACGAUGUCGACUUGGAGGUUGUGCCCUUGAGGCGUGGCUUCCGGAGCUAACGCGUUAAGUCGACCGCCUGGGGAGUACGGCCGCAAGGUUAAACUCAAAUGAAUUGACGGGGCCCGCACAAGCGGUGGAGCAUGUGGUUUAAUUCGAUGCAACGCGAAGAACCUUACCUACUCUUGACAUCCAGAGAACUUUCCAGAGAUGGAUUGGUGCCUUCGGGAACUCUGAGACAGGUGCUGCAUGGCUGUCGU
rnacentral:rRNA from 1 species